rnacentral:tRNA from 1 species
GAGGGUAUAGCUCAAUGUGAUAGAGCAUGUAUGCUUAGCAUGUAUGAGGUCCUGGGUUCAAUCCCCAGUGCCUCCU